rnacentral:sRNA from 1 species
GAAAUGCUAAUAAUUGGGCUGCUGCUGCACAAGGUGCUGGAUUCACAGUAA